rnacentral:rRNA from 1 species
UACGGAGGAUCCAAGCGUUAUCCGGAAUCAUUGGGUUUAAAGGGUCCGUAGGCGGUUUAAUAAGUCAGUGGUGAAAUCUGGUCGCUCAACGAUCAAACGGCCAUUGAUACUGUUAGACUUGAAUUAUAAGGAAGUAACUAGAAUAUGUAGUGUAGCGGUGAAAUGCUUAGAUAUUACAUGGAAUACCAAUUGCGAAGGCGGGUUACUACUUAUGGAUUGACGCUGAUGGACGAAAGCGUGGGGAGCGAACAGGAUUAGAAACCCGGGUAGU